GACGAACGCUGGCGGCGUGCUUAACACAUGCAAGUCGAACGGAAAGGCCCUGCUUUUGUGGGUUGCUCGAGUGGCGAACGGGUGAGUAACACGUGAGUAACCUGCCCUUGACUUUGGGAUAACUUCAGGAAAAUGGGUCUAAUACCGGAUAGGAUCUCUUGCUGCAUGGUGGGGGUUGGAAAGAUUCGGCGGUUGGGGAUGGACUGGCGGCUUAUCAGCUUGUUGGUGGGGUAGUGGCUUACCAAGGCUUUGACGGGUAGCCGGCCUGAGAGGCGGACCGGCCACAUUAGUACUGCGAUACGGCCCAGUAUCCAACGGGAGGCAGCAGUGGGGAAUAUUGCACAAUGGGCGGAAGCCUGAUGCAGCAACGCCGCGUGCGGGAUGACGGCCUUCGGGUGGUAAACCGAUGUCGCCUGUGACGAAGCGUGAGUGACGGUAAUGGGUAAAGAAGCACCGGCUAACUACGUG
rnacentral:rRNA from 1 species